UUCGCUGCAAAAGCUUUUACAUGCAUGCUUUUCUCUAAAUAUCUUUAUAUUCCAACGCUGCCAACAUAAAUGAAGGUAAAAUUGAAGUGAAUGCAGCUGUGCCUAUACAAUUUGCUGCAGGAGCAUCAAUAACCCUUGACAUUUUUACAUAUAUUUUAGUGGGAUUCAGCAAACUUUAAAAGUAAAAAUAUACUUUGACUUCUAUUAAACCAAAUAUGCCUCGCUGUUCUAUGAGGCCUUUGGAUGUUUGUUAGAGUUGUGGAUAAAAAUGGCUCUUUGUCUUUCCUCUGCCUCUUUUAUCUGCUCACAUGCUUGCAUAACCGUAACAUUUAAGACAGUCACACAUAAAUAAAAACUGAUUAAGGCAGACCAACACCCCCUUAGAACGGGUGCAGAAUGAGAAGAAGAUAAAAGCAGAACUUGCGCUACAAUCUUUGCUUCACUUUGGUGUCACCCUUAAGAUAUAUCUAGAGAGAGACAG